AAUUUUAUAGUUAAAAAAUAACAUUAGAAUGCAAUUCUAAAAUUAUAUUGAAUUUAUUAAAAUUU
rnacentral:tRNA from 1 species